AGUACCUCAAGGCCCGUGCUAAGGAUAAAGGUUUGCAGUCUGCUCCUUCCUCACCUCUGCCUCAGCCCUCCUCACCACCACGUUCUCCAUCAGAGCAUUCCACACCACUCCCUCCUCCUUCCCCAUCUGUGCCUGUGGAUCAAUCUCCACUCCCUCCUCUGAUCUCUCCACUGGCCUCUCCCAGCAUGACGAAGCCUUCAACACCUGUGUCUGCUGAAACAGAGGAGACUUCAGGAGUUCCAAAAGGGACACCCUGCCUAAUCUGGAUAAUGUGCUCGACCACUUUGAAGCCAGCCUCAUUGGACCAAAUCAGUCUCGACAGGCAAUUCGGAAUAUAAAACAAAGAAAAAGUUAUGUCAAGGAAUUCCUUCUCUAUAUGUCAGGAAACAAGGGGGACAUCAACAAGAGCUUCAAUUUCCUAAAUGAUAUCCACAAACUAAAUAGAUACCUUACAAGUCUGAAUGGCAGACUGAAGCCAACCAGUCAGGUGCAUAUCAUUUUGGACAUUGAGGCCUUCUUGAGAUUCAUGAAAC